rnacentral:rRNA from 1 species
AAAGAAGUCUAUUAAGGUGUCAUUGACAUGUAUAGUUGUCCGUUCCUUUCUUUUCCACUUGUUAAGGUGCUUUCCGUUUGUGACCCAGCGGUACCUGUCCUUGAAGGAGGUUCGACUUUAAUCACUUGCGUAUAAACUCAAACCGUGGUUUUCGGUCAAAACCGUCGCUAUAACCACAUACAUAGAGUUAAGAGUCUGUCUACACACGAUUCUAUAAGUCUGAUUCACAAGACUUUCAUUAUGAGAGUAGUAACUGUUUUCCAGGUAGAGGGCUGAACCGGCUACGUCUCUUUUGUAUUACACGGUAACUGUGAUACUUGGACGGUCGGGUAAAAACUGACUGUGGACUUUGCACCAUAGCGAUACGUAGACUUUGCAAAGUGCUUUAGCCGUUUUCUUUUAGGGUUAUAGGGUCGCGUCGUCACACAUGCCCUGAGUAUAUACGCACUAGGUGUCCCAGCUCGCUAAUCUCCUCGACAUCAUGGCUUUUUCAGCCUCGGUGUUUCGUGAUCGUUCGUUGGUGUGUUGCGCUCAACCUCCUCUUAGAUGGUGGACAACGAGCGGGUGGGUGGUGCCCGUGCCCCCUUUCGUCCCUGGUCCCGCCGCCUAGAAGACAAAGGGCCACUGCCUCCUCCUCGAAGGGGCACGAGGAGCGCAGGCCGAGCUCACCCGCUUCGCCAAUCCGCGGCGGCGACGGCGGCGGCGGCACAGCAACGAGUCGGCAAGGCUCCCGGCGACCGAACUUUCCGCGAGCGACGUCCGGCCAUAGGACCGACAACCUUACCCGAAACUCUAGCCCUUAGACAGUGGAAAAACCGUCCGAGCACAGCCGAGCACAGUCGGAUACGUAGAUAUAUGCCAGACCCUAUGUCGGGCACGCAUGUACAAACCGGGUAGUCGGACGAGCACAGGAGAGACGAGUUGGACACUACGAGAAAGAGACAGCAAGAGCAAGGACAAGGCAGCGGGUCGGUAGGGGGAAGGAGAGAGAAAGAGUAGACACGCAUCAAGGGCGCCACCACCAGCAGCCACUGGUGCGAGGGGAAGUCGGCACCGGUCCUCUGGCCCACGUCGGGGUGGGAGGGAGCCGAGGACGCUGGCUUCGCGGCCGGGCUCGCGAGCGGGAGAAGGUGAGGCUGUCGGUUUAGUGGGCCUAGGGCGCAGGAGAAGGUGAGGCCGCUGGCCUAGGGGAGCUCAAACGCCUUGUGGCCUAGACAGGUCCCGCUCCAGGAACAGGUGCCUAGGCCGGCCCUCUUUAGUAAAAGAAGUAACAAAGGCAGCUAAACAGAAUCCAAGUCAAGUUGAUUCUUACGUUCUACUGUUUUACGCUGUUUACCAACUUUUUUACACGUCAAGACGGGGGUCUCUUUUUCUACGGUAGGUUGUUAUACGUAUCAACCCAAGGAACCUUUGUAGUAGGAACUUGAAAGACUGUCGAACCUUGUCUACGAAGGUGUGUAUUGGAGGGAUCAAGCUAAGAAAGUAAAACGGAUACAACAAAAUCACGAAGGUUCUUAUACACAUGACAUCAGUACGGACCGUCACCCUCGUUCGUGCACCGGGUAGUGUUUUUAACGUUUUUACGUUAUAGAAAUUCGUUUAUACGUAGACCACGGAAGUCUAACACACAAAGAAAUAGUGACUCUGUUUAUUCGUAGAACUAGUUAGAACUAUAUUGAUCAAAGGAGUAGUCCACUCCUUAAGAAGUCGAAAAUGAAGAACUAAAUCAACCAACUACUACAAAAGUACCGAUUACCACGAAAAAAGACAACAAUUUUUUACGUUUACUAAUCCAAGAUAACUAACGAGGAUGCUUACGUUUACUAAUCCGUAUUGUCUCAUACAACCUUUAAACAGAUGGGACACACACUAUUAGACAACUAACGAGGAUGGUUAGGAUCAAUUCAAGUCUGUACGUGGUCACGUAUACCGUACACCCUGCUAGUCUUCUAAACACACAAUUACAACUACGUAAUUUACAUGUUUAGUAAAAAU